rnacentral:rRNA from 1 species
CAGCAGCCGCGGGAAUACGAAGGUCCCGAGCGUUGUUCGGAAUCACUGGGCGUAAAGGGAGCGUAGGCGGCGUGGUAAGUCAGAUGUGAAAUCCCGGGGCUCAACCCCGGAACUGCAUCCGAUACUGCCAUGCUAGAGGAUUGGAGAGGUAGCUGGAAUUCUUGGUGUAGCAGCGAAAUGCGUGGAGAUCAAGAGGAACACUCGUGGCGAAAGCGAGCUACUGGACAAUAACUGACGCUGAGGCUCGAAGGCCAGGGUAGCGAAAGGGAUUAGAUACCCGUGUAGUCCCUGUCUCUUAUAC